AAUGAAUCAAGAAAUAAAUAAAAUAAGAAAAGUUGAAAUCUGUUUAUUUAUCAUAAACUUUAAAAAGCUGGUAGAAGAGAAGUUCUUAAUGAAGACAGUUUCUAAGAGAUUCCUUUAUCUUCCUCCUGAGUGUUGGUUGCACUCUAAGAUUCUGGAAGAAGUUAACCAUCAAACUUCAAAGCAAGCCAGUUCUCUGGUGACAGAAACCAUAUUCAAAAAGCCUGGUACUGCCAUGGCUGCCAGCCUAGCCAAACUCAUGCAGUGAAUUGAUUGAUGGCUGGGUUCCAACAUCCUGCCUAUCUCAUCCAGCCCAACCUCCUUUACUAACACAACACUUUAAUGCUAAUACUUUCUCUUCCUUCCUAAAGUUCCUAUUAGACACAUGAGGCUAGGAAGCCAGAGCUCUGUCCAGGAGCAUACUGUGGAAAUCCCCUCUGUCAAAAGUUGCCUGGAAAACUGAAGGGAGGAAGCUAGAUGUAUUUUAUGGGUUUUGUUCCUGAGUUCACUAACACAAAUUCACAUAUUAAAUUGGACUGCUAUGAUCUGCUACUUUAAAAGACACAGGGUACAUGUUCCAGGAUUGCUAUACAAAUGAGGAAUCUUCAUGAAAAGUGCUUUAGGAAGGAAUGACACAGUUCAAUUCCCAGGAGAGAAUUGAUAAGGUAUCCAAGCUGAAACCUCUUUGAAGAUCAUCAGACUUUCUGUCUGCCAGCAAAAAGACUAAUUUCUAGAGAGAAAAGAUGUAUCCAACAUUACCGAAAGUUUAUUGGUAGAGCAGAAACUCCCAAAUUGGGCUUUUACAACUAUAUCAAACUUCCCGAGAUAUAUACCAGCAAAUUGCAGAAAAAGUAGGAAAAGGAGAAGAGUACUUAUGAUAACUGCCUGGAGCCAUCCUGAUAGCACUCUUCUCCAUGUUUUCCAACUUCUGCUCCUACUGUAUUUAAAUCCAAAGAAGGUAGAGUGAAGAAGCAGCAAGGAACUGCAGGCACUUGAGCAAGCCAUGAACCUCUGCUUGGUCCCCUCUCCUGAACCAUGGUAAAUACACUUAACUAUAAAACUUUGGUGGUACCAUCAUCCCCACAGAAUGACUAAAAUUGCUUUACAUUAAAGAAUAAAAGAUAGGUUAAGUUUUUCUCCUAUCUUAUAUCAGAACCCUGGAAAAAUGUCACACAACUCUUUCCUAAACCUUAACACUGGUAAAUUCAUAGCCUACUUCCUGUAUCAGAUUUCCAGUGACAGCUACAUUCUCCCAAACAAUCCUGUCCCAAAAAAGUAUCCUCUGAAGACAAUCCUUUCCCUCUGACUCAUCAUCCCUCCUUCUCUUUCCCAACUAGCCUUUCCUUUCAAUAGCCUCCUAAAUAAGGAUGCCAUCCUAGGAGUGUGUAUGUGCAUGUAUACAUACGUGAAUAUGUUGGGGUAUUUCUGUUUAUUUAAAAAGAAAAGUAAUCUUCAUUUAAAUGUAAAUAUAGAUCAACAGUCUCAAUCUCUACAUUAAAAUGAAUCCUCAUAUCCUGUACCACAAAUGUCCUAGACUAAGAAGGAAUAUUGAUUAUAGAUACUAUAUCUAAGUUUCUGUACUACAGUAACAGUGAUCUUUCCAAAGAAACAACAGUUUGAGGACCAUAUUAAUAAUGUAGGCUUUAGUGACCAUGACCAACCUAACAAUUGUGCUGCAAAGUAGGAGGUCUUUAAUGGCCAUAUUACAGGCCAGAAACAAUAACAAUUCUAAUAGGCCUGGAAAAAAUAGGCCUUUAUUAUCAAGUAAUUUGAGA